AGCUCGUAGUUGAACCUUGGACCUGGCUGAUCUGUCCUCCUAAUCGAGCGUACGGAUUCGGUCGGGUCUUUCCUUUUGGGGAACCCUAUGUCCUUCAUUGGGUGUAGUGGGGAACCAGGACUUUUACCUUGAAAAAAUUAGAGUGUUCAAAGCAGGCCUUUGCUCGAAUACAUUAGCAUGGAAUAAUAGAAUAGGACAUCGGUUCUAUUUUGUUGGUUUCUAGGACCGCUGUAAUGAUUAAUAGGGAUAGUCGGGGGCGUCCGUAUUCAAUUGUCAGAGGUGAAAUUCUUGGAUUUAUUGAAGACGAACUACUGCGAAAGUAUUCGCCAAGGAUGUUUUCAUUAAUCAGUGAACGAAAGUUAGGGGAUCGAAGACGAUCAGAUACCGUCGUAGUCUUAACCAUAAACUAUGCCGACUAGGGAUUGGACGGUGGUUUUUUUAUGCCCCGUUCGG
rnacentral:rRNA from 1 species